rnacentral:misc_RNA from 1 species
CCGAGUUUACAACUCCCAAACCCACUGUGAACUUAUACCCAAAACGUUGCCUCGGCGGGCACAGCGGUACCCGAGCCCCCCGCAAGGGAGGCAGAGGCGCCCGCCCGCCAGGGGACCAAAACUCUUCUGUAUACCCAUAGCGGCAUGUCUGAGUGGAUUUACAAACAAAUGAAUCA